UGCAUUCAUUAAGGCACACAUACAUACAUACACAUGUACACGUUCUAGUACAUACGCAUAAUUUUUAAGGCAGUUCGUUUAGUUAGAAUUCACAUUUAAUUUUCGCUAAUUCUCAAUUCUCUUUUACAAGCUAACUAACCCCAACUAACAUUCGUUCUAUGUCUAUGAUACUAUCGCUAAGCUAAUCCCAUUUCGCAGUUGAUGCUGGGCUAAAAUCUAUCUCUAAGCACGAGCUUCGGCAGCUGCACCUCAAAAAAAAAAAAAAAAAC